AUUGAACGCUGGCGGCAGGCCUAACACAUGCAAGUCGAGCGGAGCGGCGGACGGGUGAGUAAUGCCUAGGAAUCUGCCUGGUCGUGGGGGAGAACGUCCGGAAACGGGCGCUAAUACCGCAUACUAUCGGAUGAGCCUGGGCCGAAUUAGCUAGUUGGUGGGGUAAAGGCCUACAAAGGCGACGAUCCGUAACUGGUCUGAGAGGAUGAUGAGUCACACUGGAACUGAGACACGGUCCAGACUCCUACGGGAGGCAGCAGUGGGGAAUCUUGGGCAAUGGGCGAAAGCCUGAUCCAGCCAUGCCGCGUGGGUGAAGAAGGUCUUCGGAUUGUAAAGCACUUGACGUGGGGAAGCGUUACCAACAGAAUAAGCACCGGCUAACUUCGUGCCAGCAGCCGCGGUAAUUC
rnacentral:rRNA from 1 species